rnacentral:rRNA from 1 species
UACGGGGGGGGCAAGCGUUGUUCGGAAUUACUGGGCGUAAAGGGUUCGUAGGUGGCUUGUUAAGUCAGACGUGAAAUCCCUCGGCUCAACCGGGGAACUGCGUCUGAGACUGAUGAGCUCGAGUGCAGGAGAGGAACGCGGAAUUCCAGGUGUAGCGGUGAAAUGCGUAGAUAUCUGGAGGAACACCGGUGGCGAAGGCGGCGUUCUGGACUGCAACUGACACUGAGGAACGAAAGCCAGGGGGGCAAACGGG